GACGAACGCUGGCGGCGUGCUUAACACAUGCAAGACGAACGGAAAGGCCCUGCUUUUGUGGGGUGCUCGAGUGGCGAACGGGUGAGUAACACGUGAGUAACCUGCCCUUGACUUUGGGAUAACUUCAGGAAACUGGGGCUAAUACCGGAUAGGAGCUCCUGCUGCAUGGGGGGGGUUGGAAAGUUUCGGCGGGUGGGGAUGGACUCGCGGCUUAUCAGCUUGUUGGUGGGGUAGUGGCUUACCAAGGCUUUGACGAGUAGCCGGCCUGAGAGGGUGACCGGCCACAUUGGGACUGCGGGAGGGCGCAGACUCCUACGGGAGGCAGCAGUGGGGAAUAUGGUCCAAUGGGCCGAAGCCUGAUGCAGCAGCGCCGCGUGCGGGAUGACGGCUUUCGGGUUGUAAACCGCUUUCGCCUGUGACGAAGCGGGAGUGACGGUAAUGGGUAAAGAAGCACCGGCUAACUACGUG
rnacentral:rRNA from 1 species